rnacentral:rRNA from 1 species
AAUAGAUACCCCGGUAGUCCACGCCGUAAACGAUGGAUGCUAGCUGUUAGGAGUAUCGACCCUUCUAGUAGCGAAGCUAACGCGUUAAGCAUCCCGCCUGGGGAGUACGGUCGCAAGAUUAAAACUCAAAGGAAUUGACGGGGACCCGCACAAGUGGUGGAGCGUGUUCUUUAAUUCGAGGAUAAGCGAAGAACCUUACCAGGGCUUGACAUCCUUGGAAUUUCUCCGAAAGGAGAGAGUACUUUAUUGGACCAAGUGACAGGUGUUGCAUGGCCGUCGUCAGCUCGUGUCGUGAGAUGUUAGGUUAAGUCCUUCAACGAGCGCAACCCUUAUGUUUAGUUGGAUUUUUCUACUUAGACCGCCUCGGUAACGGGGAGGAAGGAGGGGAUGAUGUCAGGUCAGUAUUGCCCUUACGCCUGGGGCUACAAACACGCUACAAUGGCCGGUACAAAGGGCAGCCAACCCGCGAGGGGGAGCAAAUCCCAUCAAAACCGGUCCCAGUUCGGAUAGCAGGCUGAAAUUCGCCUGCUUGAAGUCGGAAUCGCUAGUAACGGUGAGUCAGCUAUUAC